UGGGGAAUUUUGGACAAUGGGCGAAAGCCUGAUCCAGCAAUGCCGCGUGUGUGAAGAAGGCCUUCGGGUUGUAAAGCACUUUUGUCCGGAAAGAAAUCCUUGGCUCUAAUACAGUCGGGGGAUGACGGUACCGGAAGAAUAAGCACCGGCUAACUACGUGCCAGCAGCCGCGGUAAUACGUAGGGUGCAAGCGUUAAUCGGAAUUACUGGGCGUAAAGCGUGCGCAGGCGGUUUGCUAAGACCGAUGUGAAAUCCCCGGGCUCAACCUGGGAACUGCAUUGGUGACUGGCAGGCUAGAGUAUGGCAGAGGGGGGUAGAAUUCCACGUGUAGCAGUGAAAUGCGUAGAGAUGUGGAGGAAUACCGAUGGCGAAGGCAGCCCCCUGGGCCAAUACUGACGCUCAUGCACGAAAGCGUGGGGAAGCAAACAGGAUUAGAUACCCUGGUAGUCCACGCCCUAAACGAUGUCAACUAGUUGUUGGGGAUUCAUUUCCUUAGUAACGUAGCUAACGCGUGAAGUUGACCGCCUGGGGAGUACGGUCGCAAGAUUAAAACUCAAAUGAAUUGACGGGGUCAUAGCUGUUUCCU
rnacentral:rRNA from 1 species